UACGAAGGGGGCUAGCGUUGCUCGUAAUCACUGGGCGUAAAGCGCACGUAGGCGGCUUUUUAAGUCAGGGGUGAAAUCCUGGAGCUCAACUCCAGAACUGCCUUUGAUACUGAGAAGCUUGAGUCCGGGAGAGGUGAGUGGAACUGCGAGUGUAGAGGUGAAAUUCGUAGAUAUUCGCAAGAACACCAGUGGCGAAGGCGGCUCACUGGCCCGGUACUGACGCUGAGGUGCGAAAGCGUGGGGAGCAAACAGG
rnacentral:rRNA from 1 species